rnacentral:rRNA from 1 species
AUUGAACGCUGGCGGCAGGCCUAACACAUGCAAGUCGAACGGUAACAGGAAGAAGCUUGCUUCUUUGCUGACGAGUGGCGGACGGGUGAGUAAUGUCUGAGAAACAGCCUGACGGAGGGGGAUAACUACUGGAAACGGUAGCUAAUACCGCAUAACGUCGCAAGACCAAAGAGGGGGACCUUCGGGCCUCUUGCCAUCGGAUGUGCCCAGAUGGGAUUAGCUAGCAGGUGGGGUAACGGCUCACCUAGGCGACGAUCCCUAGCUGGUCUGAGAGGAUGACCAGCCACCCUGGAACUGAGACACGGUCCAGACUCCUACGGGAGGCCGCAGUGGAGAAUCUUGCACGAUGGGCGAAAGCCUGAUGCAGCCAUGCCGCGUGUAUGAAGAAGGCGUUCGGGUUGUAAAGUACUUUAAGCGGGGAGGAAGGGAGUAAAGUUAAUACCUUUGCUCAUUGACGUUACCGGCAGAAGAAGCACCGGCUAACUCCGUG